rnacentral:rRNA from 1 species
AGCGAACGCUGGCGGCAGGCUUAACACAUGCAAGUCGAGCGGGCACUUUCGGGUGUCAGCGGCGGACGGGUGAGUAACGUGUGGGAACGUGCCCUCUGGUUCGGAAUAACUCAGGGAAACUUGAGCUAAUACCGGAUACGCCCUUUUGGGGAAAGGCUUGCUGCCGGAGGAUCGGCCCGCGUCUGAUUAGCUAGUUGGUGAGGUAACGGCUCACCAAGGCGACGAUCAGUAGCUGGUCUGAGAGGAUGAUCAGCCACACUGGGACUGAGACACGGCCCAGACUCCUACGGGAGGCAGCAGUGGGGAAUAUUGGACAAUGGGCGCAAGCCUGAUCCAGCCAUGCCGCGUGAGUGAUGAAGGCCUUAGGGUUGUAAAGCUCUUUUAUCCGGGACGAUAAUGACGGUACCGGAGGAAUAAGCCCCGGCUAACUUCGUG